AUUGAACGCUGGCGGCAGGCCUAACACAUGCAAGUCGAACGAGUGGCGGACGGGUGAGUAAUGUCUGGGAAACUGCCCGAUGGAGGGGGAUAACUACUGGAAACGGUAGCUAAUACCGCAUACCAUCUGCUUUGCCCAGAUGGGAUUAGCUAGUAGGUGGGGUAACGGCUCACCUAGGCGACGAUCCCUAUCUGGUCUGAGAGGAUGACCAGACACACUGGAACUGAGACACGGUCCAGACUCCUACGGGAGGCAGCAGUGGGGAAUAUUGCAAAAUGGGCGCAAGCCUGAUGCAGCCAUGCCGCGUGUAUGAAGAAGGCCUUCGGGUUGUAAAGUACUUUCAGCGAGGAGGCGUUACUCGCAGAAGAAGCACCGGCUAACUCCGUGCCAGCAGCCGCGGUAAUAC
rnacentral:rRNA from 1 species